UCACCUUCUACCUGCUUUAGCUCACUCAUCCUGCAGCAGCCAGCCUGUUGUCUACAACAGUGCCCACCCGUAGCUCGUAGAACUUCCCCUCGGAUCAGCUGGUGGCAUCCUUCUCUGUCCAUGGCCAACUGUUCUAGGCUUUACGAGACGUCGCAGCUGCUGCUUUCAUUAUUUUGCCACCCUGAGCCUUCUGGUGAAGAAGUCCAGGCUCUCCAUCUGGAGAAAGAGGCCCCAUCCAGCAGCCCAGAACUAAGGCCCCCAACACGGGAGGCCGACCACCCUGAUCCUCCAGCCCCGCUGCCAUCUGAGUGCCGGUAACACAACACAGAGGAGGAAUCUCUGAGGAGCCCACUCAAUUUCUGAAUCACAGCAUCGUGAUUAUACGAAUUGAAUCAUUCUUUUAAGAAACAUAAAACAGGACUUGAUACAGAGCUGCCAAGGAAGUAGGAGAGAAGUGCUUGCACCCGCUGAUCAGAGAGGGCUUCCUGAGGAGGUGACAUCUGAGCAGCAAAGGAAGUUAGAGAAUUGAAUGGGUCAUGGUGAUGAACCAUGAACAUCAGGGGAAAAUAAUUCCCCAGUGUCUCAUAACAGGUUAUAACUGGCAUAUUCAAAAUGAAAUCCCCACCUGUAUAUUGACACCGAUAUAGAAGGCUCUGCGGCACCUUUUCUUUUGUCUGUAUUACUAUUUGCACUUAAAAAUGAAUUCACAUGCCAUCUUCCUCUGAAAGGCCUGACUUCUCUAACCUGAGCGGGUGUCCUCUUCAACAUCACCAUCUCCAGCCACAUUUUCUUCUGGGAGAGUUGGAACAUGUUAUGCAGCUUAUUUCCUUUUAUCCAAACCUCAUGCCACUAAACUUAGAGCUUGUUUUGAUCUCUGUACUCACAAUAUGUAUACUGUAGGUGAAAUGACACUACUGCCUUGCCUCUAUUUACAUUACAUUCACGACCUUUCUUUUCUUCUUCUUCUUUUUUUUUUUUAAGGCUUCCACUGGAUACCAGCUUAAGCACAUCAUCGAAAUUUUUAUUGUAUCACAAAAAGACUUUUUUUUUUGUUUGUUUGGCCAAUGGCUGCUUAACCUGUCACUGAAAGGUAGCGACAGAGCUUUUAUUAACCAGAAAAUGUGCUGUGCUUCCUUCGGGAAGGUAAACCAGACAGCAGAUACAGAAGCCUCGCUCAAAGAGGGAGAAAGGAGACUGAAGGAUUUUAAGAGUAACACCUGUCAAAUGGAGCAGUAAUGUGUACUGCUUGACAAAAUAGGCUGGUGACUGUCAAAAUAAAUAAUACGCCUUCCAGCCCUGACGAAUGACAGAAGUACACCUGAAGACUUGAGGGAAGCAUCCAACAAAAUGCAAAAUUGAAAGUAAAGUUGGAACGAUCGGCGCAGCCUCCCAGCAGCUAAAUUUCAAGUAAUUUUGGAGAAACUCAAACCGUUCACCAGGUUUCAUGGCAAAGGGAAAGGUUCCAAAAACUCUUCUGAUUGAGCAUUCCUCUUUCGUUAGGAAAUCCCAUCUCUUCUGAUGGACUGCCGGGAUGUUGUUUUCUGCUUUUUCAAUACAGAAACAAUCUUGCCGUGACUGUGGCAUUCUCUGUGCAGACAUUCAGCUGACUGCCAAUAAUAUCGGCAGGAGGAGCAGCCAGAGCUGUACCCCUUUGUUGUCAUAGCGGGGCUCACUGCAGAAAAGGCAGACAUCCAGGGAAAGGCUACUUCUAAUUCCUUUCUGCGUCCAUUUCUUCCCACUUGAGGUACCUAGUUUUCUUUUCCCGUAGCUCCUGAGAGGAUCAUCUUAUUUUCUCUUUCCAGAAAGCAAGGUUUUCUAAAACAAUUACAGAGCAAGCUGCCCAAGUGUCUGCAGACAAUGUUAUGACCCUUUCCAGGGGCAGUUUCAUUUAAGCAAAUUGUUUUUUGGAAGCCCUAAAAACCCUUGAUAAAUUUAUGCUCUAAAAUUUAAUAAUACAAGUGGAAGAAUAUAUUGUUAGUGGAAGAAUUUUAAACAUCUCAAAAACAUAGUUCUGCAAAAGCCCAUCUUGCUUCAGAAGUUAUCCACUUAUGCCUCUAGUUCCAAGUGUCAGAGGUGAGAGGUGGCUUGUCCCUCUGCCUGACUCUCUUAAUUGUAUUUUUGUUCCCAGGCAGAGCUAUUCUCUGGGUUCCCGAAGUCAAAGUGAAAGAGAAAGGAGGAAAAACACUACAGCACCAACUCCCAAGGAGAAGCUGCUUCUAGAAAUUAUUUAGCCUACAGCAACAUGGCUUGCUUUCUCAUUUAAUUUUAUUUAUGCUCUUCCAUUAUUUAUUCUUCCUUUAUCUGUUUCAUCCAUUAUAUUUAUUGACUCUAGUUCCAAAUAUGUUUUUCAUAAGAAUCUAAUUCUAAGUAAACAAUUUAGAGAUGUGAAAAAAGCAAAACAUCGAAUCUAAAAACAUAAAUUUAGUGCUGGUUUCUUUCCAGCCCAAAGUAUUUACUAAAAUCUGUAAUUUAAGGAAAAAAAAAAACCUGAACAUUUUGUUUAUUUUAAAUGUUACCUUGGAGAGUUAUACUAAUCUAAAAACUGCAUUCUAUAUUAUUUUGAUAGCCAUAUUUAUUAAAC